rnacentral:rRNA from 1 species
AGAGUUGAUCAUGGCUCAGGAUGAACGCUAGCUACAGGCUUAACACAUGCAAGUCGAGGGGCAGCAUUGGAGUAGCAAUACUCAGAUGGCGACCGGCGCACGGGUGAGUAACACGUAUCCAACCUGCCGCUUACUCGGGAUAGCCUUUCGAAAGAAAGAUUAAUACCCGAUGGUAUAAAGAGUUCGCAUGUUCUCUUUAUUAAAGAAUUUCGGUAAGCGAUGGGAUGCGUUCCAUUAGAUAGUUGGCGGGGUAACGGCCCACCAAGUCUACGAUGGAUAGGGGUUCUGAGAGGAAGGUCCCCCACAUUGGAACUGAGACACGGUCCAAACUCCUACGGGAGGCAGCAGUGAGGAAUAUUGGUCAAUGGACGAGAGUCUGAACCAGCCAAAAGUAGCGUGAAGGAUGACUGCCCUAUGGGUUGUAAACUUCUUUUAUAAGGGAAUAAAGUGAGGGACGCGUCCUUUUUGUAUGUACCUUAUGAAUAAGGAUCGGCUAACUCCGUGCCAGCCGCGGC